rnacentral:sRNA from 2 species
AGUGCAAACCAGCCGAAUCCGGUGAUUCACCGGAUCGGGGGAACCAUUUGAGGCCAGUCCGGUCUCAGGGGCGAAUCGCAGAAUGCGUAGCGCGAACUCUUUCAGCGCGAGCCCGUCAGCUAACCCCGAAGGCGAAUGAAAGAGAGAUG